rnacentral:lncRNA from 1 species
UGCGCACAUUCUGUCUCGGCUUGCGAGUACUUUGACAAGAGCUCUUACACAUAAUGGGAAGCACUAUGAACUCUGUAAUCAAAAAUCUAAAUAAUAAACAUACAUAAAUAAUCCUUGAAUAAAGUUCACUCUCAUCAAUACACUCUAGCACACAAAAUAUUUUACUCUUUAAAACAGUACAACUUGCUAUAUACUGGAUUUCUGGAUUUUAAGACAAUUGUAGAACAAUCUUUGUAGUUUUGUUCCUGUUUUUUUUCCAGUGGAAUAAUUUAAGAAUGAGAAGACUAGUUUCAACAGCUAUUACUCAGUCGAAAAGUUCAUAGGUUUAUGUUGCUUGACUAAUGAUACACUUGCAUACAUUUUCAUGAACUCCAGUCUGUUUUAAGUUUAAUACAAAUACAAUUUUUUAAACACACACGUGAACACAAAGAACAGGUCACUCUGACAUAAAUAUAUCACAGCUAUAAAUUCUAAGUAUUUGCAUACAUACUGAGCAGCCAUUUUAUAAGCACACACGAACAUGCCAGCUUCAUUGCAUACAUAUGCUUCCUUAUAUGCCUUCAUAGAUAUACUGCUUCAAACUAACAAACACGAUGGAAAUUUAAUAAGAAAAGCAAAUAAAAUUUCCCUCAAAACUGCACAAUUAUAAAACUGAAAUGCAUCACCUACAUUCCCUAAUAACAAAUGUAUUACUUAUCAUUGUGGAGUUUAUUACAUACAAGGUAAUGGAACUAGUCCUCUCUGCUAAGUCAAAUAUGACAGAUCUCUUUUAGCAAAUUCAUAGGAGAUCCCUUGAGCUAUUUGUGAAGAUGGUGCUCGACCGUUCUAUUUAAAUGACAAAUUUAAUACAGACAUUAUGCAAUAAUAUAGGUGCUCUGACAGAGAUCAUAAGAUGAUGCAGACAAAGACACGUUUGCAUGCCUCUACAUAUCUUGCGACAUGACUCUUGAGAAGAUAAGUUACUUCAAACACACAAUUAUUGUUUGCAGUAGCCUCUUUUACUUUUGGUGCCUCCACUCCAAAUUAAAAUGUUAAAAUAAUUGUUGUGGCUACAUGUAUAUGCAAGUAAUUGCUUACCAUAGCCUCUUCAUAUCACAAUAUGGGAUAAAAUUCCUUGUUUUUGUCAACUGAUUUCAACACGGGNNNNNNNGUCAACUGAUUUCAACAAGGGACAUAUACGUAUGUUAGAAAUCUCUGGCAAUAAUUUCACUUAUCAAGCAACAAUACACCUCUUAGACUUCCUUAACUUCCCCAUCUACCAUCCACAAUGUGCUGAAAUACCAUGUCAUGCCAUCAGGAGUGAAACAUGGCUUUUAUCUCAAUGUAUUGGAGCAGAGUUCUAAUGACCAAAUUCUACAGAUUCUAUUUGGCAUAUGUAAUAUUACAAUUUUAAUUAUGAGUAUUCCUCAUCUUUUGUGGGACUCAGUUCUCACACACACACACACACACACACACACACACAUUUACUCAUUGUUUUUGUAAGUGCCAAACAGAAAUUAACUUCAUGAUAGAGGCGUUAAAAUGUUGUAUUGGGCCACUCUGAAUUCUUAUAUUUUGACUAUUCAGUUUAAAAACAAGUAUUGUGCUUGCACAUUUAAGUUUGUGCAAGAAAUUCAAAGUCUGCAAUUAAAUUUUGUUACCAGUAGGAAUUAUUACUAUAUGAAGCUGAUCUUAUACUUUUAAUACUUUUUGUUCAGAAUAUUUUUACAUAUUCAUUGUACUUUGUUGCAUAGUGGUAUGAUAUUUAUAGAUCUUUAUUUGAUUAUUGGACACAUUAUUACCAAGAGAAAACUAAAUUCAGAGAUGCCAUACACGUGCCAAUCACUGUUAAGAACUUCUGUUUUACUUUGCUACAUUUGUGGGGCAAAAGCAGUUGUUUAAUUGAUGUUUUUUUUACCAAAGUAGAAUGGAACCAGAGCAAUAUUGUAGCAUUUUAUAAUGCAUGAGAACACUUAUCUACUGUGUGGGUGUGGGUGUGCAUGUAGAGGAAGGAAAGAAUUGCAUCUCUGUACUGGUUUUGUGUGCACAUGUACAUAUUUCAUUAUGAGCAUGUGUAGUUAGUGAGAAGUGCAUAGUUUCUGAUUUUCAGUGAGGUAUUGUCUACUGCUGAAAGAGUCACACCAUUCUAACUGUUUUCUGUCCAUUGUUAAAUUUAUGCAGACUGAUUCUUAAAUAGACUAUACAUUAUAUCAUCAGGCCACAUAAUUGUCAUAAUGUUUUAUUUAGGUGACUUUAGAUUUGUGUUAUUACAUUAAUAGUAUUAAGGUGUUUAAAAAGAGAAAUGUAUUAAAUCAGCCACUCAAGACUCGUCUGAACAUUCAUUUUUGUAUAAAGUGUUUGUUGCAUAUUAACAAUGGGGUGUUUGUUUAUUAUUAUGAUUAUUAUAUUAUUAUUACAAUAAUGUUAUUGUCGAUGUCUGCUGGUCAUAAGUUUUUUUUUUUUUUUUUUUUUUUUUUUUUUUUUUUUUU